UUGAUUGAAACCAAAUUAGAGGUAUAUUAUUGUUAAUAAUACUAUUGAAUUUAUAAAUUCCAAUCAA
rnacentral:tRNA from 1 species